rnacentral:tRNA from 1 species
GCCCGGGUGGCGGAAUAGGUAGACGCUGGGGACUUAAAAUCCUCUGGGGUUCCCACCCCGUGCCGGUUCGAGUCCGGCCCCGGGCA